UCGACCGCCGGUCGGCCGGAACAAGCCAAGCAGGGGUUACUUGCCAGCUUCCAUUUCGUACGUGGGCUUACGGGCUUACGGCUACCAAAACGGCAUGGGUCUGGGGCUCGGAGGCAAGGAGGCCUGCCAGCACGUGGUGUUCUUCCUCGUCGGCGCGGCGCUGCCCACUGCCCUCCUCGUCCUCCUCGCGUCCGACCGCCUCGGAGAGGGCUUGUCCACCAUCUCCAGUAGCUGGGGGCCAACUCCGACCCAGCUCCCGGCCUCGGCUGUAGGCGGCCCGCCGGCUCAGGGGGGCAACACUACUCUCUCAGCCGGCGGCGCUUCCGAAUUUGCAGAUUUGGCCGAGCUGCUGCCCAAGGUCACCACCGACGACAGGACGGUGAUCAUCACGUCGGUGAACGAGGCGUUCGCGCGGCCCGGCUCGCUGCUCGACGUCUUCCGCGAGAGCUUCCGUGCCGGCGAGGGGAUCGAGCACCUCCUCAACCACGUCCUCGUCGUCGCCGUCGACGACGCGGCGUUCGCGCACUGCAAGGCCGUGCACCCCCACUGCUACCUCCUCGAGGUCAAGUCCAUGAACCUGAGCUCCGCCAACAAGUUCAUGAGCGAGGCCUACGUCGAGCUGGUCUGGACCAAGCUCUCGCUGCAGCAGCGCGUCCUCGAGCUCGGCUACAACUUCCUCUUCACGGACGUGGACAUCGUGUGGUUCCGCAACCCGUUCUGGCACAUGAGCAUGUUCGCGGACAUGACGACGUCGAGCGACAUAUUCCACGGCGACGCCAGCAGCCUCGACAACUGGCCCAACACAGGGUUCUACUACGUCAAGGCGACGAACCGGAGCGUCGAGAUGCUGCGGCGGUGGCGGGCAGCGCGGGCGAGGUUCCCGCCGAACCACGAGCAGGCCGUCUUCAACGAGAUCAAGCACGAGCUCGCCGGCGACCUCGGGGUGCGUAUCCGGUUCCUCGACACGGCGCGCUUCGCCGGCUUCUGCCAGAUCUACCACAGCGACAUUGGCGCCGCGUGCACCAUGCACGCCAACUGCUGCUUCGGGCUCAGUAACAAGCUCUACGACCUGAGGGAAGUGCUGGGGCAGUGGAGGAACUUCACCGGCUUGACGCCGGAGGAGAAGAGCCGGAAGUUCUUAUGGAAGGAUCCCACCAAGUGCGGUUCGCCGGAUAAAAAGAACUGGUCGA